ensembl:lncRNA
CUUCCAGGUCUCUGAAGCGAGUUAAAAAGAUGGUGGCCGACCCCUCUCACCCCGGACAAAAACUGUUUGUGCCCCUUCCAUCUGGCAGGAGGCUGAGGUCCAUCAGGACUGAGACCUCCCGCCACACCAACAGUUUCUUGAAGCCAAUGAAAUGAAAAUAACUAAAGUAACAGAACCGUUUAAACAACACAUAAUUUAAGGGAAAUCUUUGUAGCCUUCAAAUGUAAACUAAUACAAUUUGUACAUACAAAUACAUAAACAAAGUCUGUGGAAUAUUUGUGGUGAUUUAUACUUAAUUCAUUUGAGAUUUUAUAUUGUCAUCUCCUGACCCCUCAGAUGAGUCAUGUGGCCCUUCAAAGGGCCGCGCCCCGCAGGUUGAGAGGCUCUACUGCAGUGAUGUAAGUAGAAAACAAGGACUCAUAUUCACGUAUUGAAGGUGAUGGUAAAGGUGUUUCAGUCACUGACGAUGAGAAAGUAAAGGGCGACACCCCGUGGUCACGAUCAGAACUGCACAACAAAACGACUUAAAACUCAUCAAAAAGUUAUUUUAUUAGUAAAGUGGGUUUUACACAUUUACAACAUAUAAAACCCCGUCCCAUGUCGAAGUGUCCCUGAGCAAAAUGUAAAAAGCAGUGGGUUAAAAAUGCGACGUAAGUCGCUUUUACACCACCGUGGAUUCCUCCCGUUUCCUGGGCGCCAUCAUCACCCAGGACCUCGAGCUCCAUCACCAAGAAGGCUCAGCAGAGGUUGUUCUUCCUGAGGCAGCUGAAGAAAUUCAACCUGCCAAAGACGACGAUGGUCCACUUCUACACGGCCAUCAUGGAGUCCAUCCUCUGCUCCUCCGUCAGCGUCUGGUACGCUGCAGCCACAGCCAAGGACAAGGGCAGGCUGCAGCGUGUCCUCCGCUCUGCAGAGAGGCUGAUCGGCUGCAAUCUGCCGUCCCUGCAGGACUUGUUCGCUUCCAGGUCUCUGAAGCAGCUAAAAAGAUGGUAGCCGACCCCUCUCACCCCGGACAAAACCUGUUAGUGCCCCUUCCAUCUGGCAGGAGGCUGAGGUCCAUCACUCCCCUUCACACUGCACAUGUCACUUUCACUUGUCACUUUCUGUUUGCUGGUGCACUUUCUUUUUAAUUUUGAAAUAGCUUUAACGAACUGUUAUUCCUUUAUUUUUAAACUAACCCAUAGCCUUAUAUUUUAUUUUAUUCCUCCUGCACUGUUGUCUUGUCAUCCAUUGUCGUACUGUCUGCUGUUACGCACCAACCGCCAAGUCACAUUCCUUGUGUAUCUCACAGAUUAUGGUGAUUAAUGUUUCCUGAUUCCUGAGAAACACCUCAUCAUCAGCCUGAGAUCAUCAUCUCGCAUCUACAGAGGGACGAACAUCUUUGAAGUUUUAAGGAGUCUCCAUAAACCGGUUACUCUUCAUGGACACACAGCUGGGUUCAGGAUCAGGUCCAGGUCUCUGAUGGGUCCUGGUCACACAUGUAGAACCAGAGUCAGAGAGACAUGGAGACGUUGGGACAUGGAGAAGAGUGGAGGACAGUUGGAGAUGGUCCUCUCACCUCUGAGCUGUGGUCUGGCUGUCAUGUUCCCCACACAGAGGAGCUUCAGAGGGACGGACUCCGUCCUCUGGGUCCUCAGCCUGAUUCAUAGCAGAGUCCACAGCUUCACACCUUCACACCAACCUGCUGGGAGAACUCACAUGUUCUUUAUCUUCAUCAGGACAAACACACAGAGCUCAUCCACCUCAACACUAAAACUCUCAUGGGACACUUUGUGUUGUCGUCUUGUCUGAUGAAGGACUGAAGACGCUAAAGCGACUUACGUUGUCUUUUUUAACUCUUGGUUUUAACAUUUUACAUUUUCCUCAGGGACACUUUGACAUGAGACACGGAGCAGCUGGGGUUCGAACCGCCGACCCCGCGGUGCGUUUGCUGCCGGUUUAGAGUCUCGCUGACGGUCCUCGUGUCCCUUGAUUAAAAGGACAUCAUAGUUUUAAUGCACAAGCUGCGCUCUGUGGACACGGACACGACGUUACGGCUACAUUUAAUCAUGACGUUCUGAAUGUAAAGUCCGUCCUCAAACAGACGGAACGUCUCCGGUGGACAACAUCGGUCUUCCCGGUGCUGGAGGAGUCAGCCGGUCCCGGUAAGCAGACCGUAAACCUCCCACAUCCACGGAGAAAAUCACAUUCCGUGACGUAAAUCCGGAAUUUAUAACAUAUAAUGUUUAUUUUCCUCCGUCGUUGCUGAGGUGCAAUGAAUUCUGGGACAUUUGGCUCUCACGAGACCGGACGAGCCUGCGCGGACGCGUGCCCGGUAAAAUGGGCGGGGCGAGUCACAUCCGGGAAUUACGGAUGGACAUUUAUACAAAGGCUAGAUGUCUCACGGCGGCGUGUGGAACGUCCGCACGUGGCGGCCAUCUUGGUACGGGCAGCUAAUCCCCCGUAACAUUGUGUUGGUAGUGAUUCGUGUACUUUUAAAUAAGCAUAACCUGCUCAACUGUCAACUGAUGUCUAAACGGUUUGAUUUGUUACAAACGUCACAGAUGUGCGGACGUUCGAUACUCCACCCUAAGACACCUAGCCUUUAUAUACAUGCGUCCAGGCCUUUGCCCUGUCAUAUCCCCUCCUCCCCUUCCCCGAGGGAGGGGAGGGGGAGCGCCACACCCUGUCCGCCAAUCAGAGCACGGCUGCACCUUCCCCACCACAUCAUCUCAGUUCCCAAGGCAACAGGGCACCACCCCUCUCCCUCUCUGUUUCCACACCGAAAGGUGCCGCAUCAUCACCGUCCCCCUCCCGUCCCUCCGUCCUCCCGUCCCACACCGAGCUGGUGGCUACUUUAGCGUUAGCAUCCUCUCUGCUAGCAUCAUCUCUCUCUCUCUCUCGCUCUCUCUCUCUCUCUCUGCAGUGGGAUUGCCACAACAUCUAAAAACACCUCCCUUCCCUCCCCCCCUCCUCCCUCCCUGCCUCUCUGCAUCCUCCAACAUCCGACACUGAGGGGGAGAAGAAGGGAACGAGAUGGACUGAAGAGAAGAAGAAGAGAUGUGGUAGGAACCGCCGAGGCUGCUGUUUAGUGUGUAUAUGAUAGAGUGUGUGUGUGUGUGUGUGUGUGGUUUAAUCCUGCAUGGAAUGCAGCUCUAAUGAUCCGCCGGUUGUGACGCCGCUCCAGCGCUGUGAGGGAGGAGAGGAUGAGGAGGGCAGGGAGGCGACUCCCAGGGUCUCUCCGAGCUUUUGUUGUGGAGGCCUCGCUCCGCCCGCUGCAUGCGGAGAGGCCAACACCUCUCCCUGCUCCCGGUCCGCUCCCAGUCCGCCGCCCUGCUGCUUCCACUGGUCCCAGUCUCUCCCACCAGGUUAAAAACGACCCCAGCGCUGCUUUGCUUUCUUCACUGUAUCUUGUUGUUUGGACUGAAGGGGGAAGCUACUGGUUCUGUUCACUGGGAGGAGACCAGCUGGUUUUGGCGUCUCAUCCCGGCCCGUUCGUUCAGACGCAAAGCGUCAGUCUCCUCCCUCCUCUCACCUGUCCAACGCACCUGUCCACUGGUCCCCGGGACGCGAUAAGGACUCCCGAGGCCUCUCGGCCUUCCGAUCCUGGAGAAGAAGUUCUGAGCUUAAUGGACUUUGAUUCCUUCGCUGCUCGGUGUCUUCUCACGAUAUCACGUUGUUCUGAUGUGUGGGGCACGAAAGAUGAACGGUAGGAAGUAAGGACGUAGGGAAGGCAAGAAGGACAUCAGAGAAGGAGUUAAGGGAAGAGGAACCGGCAGGAAAUACUUAGUGGCACACAGAAGGAUAUAAGAUACUAAAGAAGGACGCAGAAAAGAUGUAGUCAACGUCUCUUUAUUUUGAAAGGUUUCCUCGUGGGAAACUUCCUGUUUGUCCCACAAACGCUGGUUUGGACGCUCCCCACCUCGUAGGAGAGCGAGCUACCCUGUCCAGGCCAUCGGCCUGCUGCUCGGACGUGAACCGCGACGUCAUCAUUCUGAGCCGCUCAGAUCCUCGUGGUCGCGUCACAGCAUGACGCCACUAACGGCCUCCUCCCUCCUCUGCUCUCACCUCCUGCGCCUCCUUGUUUCCUUGUCGUCUCUCGUACGACGUUUCAAAGCUUCGCAUCCAGCGGAAAGUGACUUUACGAGUAUUUGUCAAAGUCUUGAAGAAACGGGGGGGUUUAGAUCUCCUGAACCGAUCGUCCCAUCGUCCUCCGUCCCUCUGCUCCCCUCCUGGAGGAGGUGGCGAAAGGAAGCAAGCAAAGGAAGGGAAGGACUGUGAGACUUGGAAUAAAAAGACACGUCCUCUCAUGUUGGUCUUUUGGAAAUGUCUCUAAUGGUUUCCCCUUGAAGGACGCAAGGAAGGAAGUAUGGGGAGAAGGAUGUGGUGAAGGAGAGAAGGAGGCAGUGAAGGGUAGAACUAGUUAAAAGUGACAGAAAACAAAUGAAGGGACAAAGGACAGAAUUAUUUCCGUCCUCACUACUGCGUCAGGACAAAAGGGAUGUAUGGAAGGAGGUAAGGACACAUGAAAGGCAAGAAGGACAUAGGGACGGAGUGAAGGAUUUAAGGAAAGAUGGACAAUUGCAGCUGAGGAAAUAAGGAUGUAGACAGAAGGACAUAAAGACACAAGGAAGAGAAAGAGGAAGUGGGGGAGAUAAGGACCUAGGGAGGACAAGAAGGAUGAAAGGAAGAUAAAGACCAACAGGAGGAUGUAACUGAUGCAAAGAAGGAGACACAUGUAGGCGAGGAAAGAAGAAGACACGAGUAUUACAAGGAGACACAUGAAGACAUCCUUUACAUGUUGACUGUGAAGAACGUGAAGUUGCUUCAGUAUCAGUGAUCAGAAUGACUGGUCAUCAUGGUCGGCCUCUUCCACAGGAAGUGAUGUCACACUCUCAGUGCUGGAGAG